rnacentral:lncRNA from 1 species
AUAUGUAGUUUUUAAAAUAAUUUUGUUAUAUAAAAAAGUAAAAAAAAAACAUUUUAUGAAUUAUUUUUUAAAAACUUUGUAAACUUUUUUUUAAAUAAAAAAUAAUUAUUAAACUUUUUAUUAAAAAAACAAUUUUUAAUACAUUUUUAUAAAAGCAAAUAUUAUUAUUUUUUAAUUAAAACAUAUUUUAAAUUUUUUUAAAAUGUCACAUAAGCAAUUUAUAGUCA